UACGUAGGUGGCGAGCGUUGUCCGGAUUUACUGGGCGUAAAGAGCGCGCAGGCGGUCGUUCAAGUCGCGUGUGAAAGCCCCCGGCUCAACUGGGGAGGGUCACGCGAUACUGAUCGACUCGAAGGCAGGAGAGGGAAGUGGAAUUCCCGGUGUAGAGGUGAAAUUCGUAGAUAUCGGGAGGAACACCGGUGGCGAAGGCGGCGACCUGGGUAGAUACUGACGCUGAGGCGCGAAAGCGUGGGGAGCAAACAGG
rnacentral:rRNA from 1 species